GCUGAAGUUUGGAGAGCACAAGUUAUCCCCAGGGCUCCUUCCUGCUUCAAACUCUGUUUCUGGGCCUCCCCUGUUACUUUGAAGCCACACCUCCAGCCCAAAACCAGGUCCCGUGGAGGCGAAGUGAGCUGGGUGUGCGCAAAUAAAACGGCUCCAAGCCCUGGUCAGAGAUCUGCACACGAUUCAUAACAGAAGAAUUCCGGCCCGGGCAGAGCGCGGCUCUGGAAGUGGCUGUGGGCCGGCGGGGUGAGAUAAUCCCCGAAGCCAGGCACGGGAGAGAGGAGAAGUUACAAGGACUUUGUAGGCACGGGCUAAAAAUACCCCGACAGCGUCCCCCUGUCCCCCUGCUCAGGGGCCGCACAGGAAGGCCAUGGCUUUCUGUUUUUCUCACUGAGAGAAAGACAACAACACAAAGCCCCCAGGUCCCUGAAGAAACCAGGCUUCUGUAUUUGUAAAAACACAGAAAACAACUGUGAGGCUGCCAGGGCAGUGGGCGGGGAAGACUCAGCCCCGGCUCUGAUAGAUCAGACAUCCCGGGGCGUUCUUAAGUGGCCCAAGAGGUCACUGAGAUUAGCCCGGGGGCCGUGGUGCCUCGGCGCUGGCUGCCGUCUGCUCACACGUGUCCUGUCUCCCACGUCCACAGGAGGAGGCAGCCCCUUGGCGUCAGACCCAUGCUGCAGGGGCCGUGAGGAGAGGGAGCCGCCGCCACCGAGCCGCCAGACCCGCCAAGGAGGAUGGAGCGGGAGUGAGGUGCAGGGACCCCCGAGUGCUGCCCGGCCGCGUCGGACACCGGUGGUUCGCGGAUCACUUAGGUAGGUGCACGACGGGGCUGGUGGGGCGGCUCGGCCUGGUCGCCGGGGGAAGGGGCGGGUGCGUCC
rnacentral:lncRNA from 1 species